UCCAACUUUGCAGGCUUUGUGAAGACUUGUGUCCUACCAUAACACACACUAAUUGAACCCUGUGGUCUGCAUGCAGUUCCCGGGUUGUGCAAAAACAGACCAUGGACUGGAUUUGGCCACAGCUGUGGUCUGUCACCCCUUCUCUGAAGUAUCUGAGUACACGGGCCUCUCACUGUGUGGCCUCUCCCGUUGCAGAGCACAGGCUCCGGACGCGCAGGCUCAGCGGCCAUGGCUCACGGGCCCAGCCGCUCUGCAGCAUGUGGGAUCUUCCCGGACCGGGGCACGAACCCAUGUCCCCUGCACUGGCAGGCGGACUCUCAACCACUGCGCCACCAGGGAAGCCCGAUCUCAAAAAUUUUUAAAGAAAUUUAAGUUGAGCAUUAACAACUGCUGUAAGACAAUUUAUAAACUGAGACAGGAGCCAGUUAGGGAAGAAUAAGCCAUGAUAUUAUGGCUACACUCUUCUCAAACAUCA